rnacentral:rRNA from 1 species
CCUGCGGGCGGCAGCAGUGGGGAAUAUUGGACAAUGGGCGAAAGCCUGAUCCAGCCAUGCCGCGUGUGUGAAGAAGGCCUUCGGGUUGUAAAGCACUUUCAGUGGGGAAGAAAGCCUUGGGGCUAAUACCCUCGAGGAAGGACAUCACCCACAGAAGAAGCACCGGCUAACUCCGUGCCAGCAGCCGCGGUAAUACGGAGGGUGCGAGCGUUAAUCGGAAUUACUGGGCGUAAAGCGCGCGUAGGCGGUCUGAUAAGCCGGUUGUGAAAGCCCCGGGCUCAACCUGGGAACGGCAUCCGGAACUGUCGGGCUAGAGUGCAGGAGAGGAAGGUAGAAUUCCCGGUGUAGCGGUGAAAUGCGUAGAGAUCGGGAGGAAUACCAGUGGCGAAGGCGGCCUUCUGGACUGACACUGACGCUGAGGUGCGAAAGCGUGGGUAGCAAACAGGAUUAGAUACCCUUGUAGU